rnacentral:lncRNA from 1 species
AGAAGCCGGCGCCCAACGGCAAGGCGCACAUCAACGGCGUGAACGGCAAGAAGGGCGUGAACGGCGUCAACGGCAAGAAGGGCGUGAACGGCCAUGCGGACCGGAUCCACCUCACGGUGAGCACGGGCGGCGGGGGCCAGGACGGCACCGGGCUCCGCGUGGCGUUCCAGGGCGCGCCGGGCGCGUACAGCGAGUUCGCGGCCAAGACGGCGCUGCCAGGGUGCGACACGGUCCCGUGCCGAGCGUUCGCGGACGCGCUGGCGGCCGUGGAGCGCGGGGGCGCCGACCGCGCCAUUCUCCCCGUGGAGUCCACCAUGGAGGGCACCGCGCUGCGGAACUACGACCUGCUGCUGCGGCACGACCUGGUGGUGGCGCAGGAGAUCAACCUCUUCGUGCACUACUGCCUCCUCGCCAUGCCGGGCGUCCGCGCCGCCGAGGUCCGCCGCGUCAUCAGCCACCCGAUGGCGCUCGCGCACUGCGGCCGCGCGCUGGCGCGCCUCGGGGUGGACCGCGAGCCCGUCGAGGACACCGCGGGCGCCGUCGAGAUGCUGCGCUCCAACCGGAUGCUCGACACCGCCGCCAUCGCCAGCCCGCGCGCCGCCGACCUGUACGGCCUCGACGUGCUCGCGCACGGGCUCCAGGACGAGUCCUGGAACGUCACGCGGUUCCUGCUCCUCUCCAGGCCGCCGCCGCCCGUGGCGCUCCCCGUGGACGCCGACGCCAAGACCAGCAUGGUGGUCGCGCACCGGGGCGGCUCCAUGAUGGUGCUGCUCAAGGUGCUCUCCGCCUUCUCCUCCCGCAACAUCAACCUCACCAAGCUGGAGGUCAUCAACAACGACGGCGCCGCCGCCCCCGCCGCCGCCGGUGCGGGUGCCCGCCCGCCGGUGAUGAUCCUGGACACGAGCGCCCGGGGCGCGCCGACGCUGCGCGCGUUCCCGCACGUCCUCUACGUGGACUGCGCGGGCGCCGCCCACGACCCGCGCGUCCGCGAGGCCAUCCAGGAGAUCGAGAAGUUCGCCGUGUUCGUGCGCGUGCUCGGCUGCUACGCCGCCGAUUCCACCGUCUACGACCUGCAAUGAGAAGGAGAGGAAGGCAGGAUCGUGAUGGUGCGAACCAGGACAGU